UUGUGUAGCAAAGCUGGAUGAUUUUUAGAGCUUCAAUCACAUAGGUGUGUAAAGAGCCCACCAUAUGAAAUUGAUAGAAAUUAUGGGACAACAUUUUGUAUGCGGCAUGAUCUCAAACUACUUAAUGGCGAUGGACUAAGAGUACCUAACUUUAGAAUUGCUCCAGCUUACUUGGUAGUGGCCAAAAUAGGAAUUUCUACUAUAUAGAAGAGGGAAGCAAGGGAAGACCAAGGCCAAUUUGGUAAUUUUACACGAACAAAGGCAAUAUCUCCACAACUCUAGAACACAUGAGCUCUAGAAUCCUCCGAUGCUAGAUAUAUAAACCACACCGCUCUAGAAUCAUUUGUUGCAAGAAAUUAACCCACAAGUUGCAUUUGCUUCAAAAACUUAACUGGAAUGCUUCAAAUGUUCUAAAUUUAAAGAUGAGUUAGUGCUCUAGGAACAACUUAAGAGAGCAUGAUUGGCACCCAGUUGGAUCAAGCGACUUUGAAUAACCUUCUCCUCCCGUCACCGGUUGGAUCAAGUUAUUUAUAUGAUUUGACUUCAGUUCUUAGGUAUUGAAAUCAUUCAUCAGCAAAGAGGCGUGAUUUGUUCCCUUAACUCGAAUAAGGAAAAUUACAAGCUUAAUAGAUUUGAGGCAUGUUGUGUUCAGUUAACUCGAAUGAGGAAAAUUACAAGCUUGAUAGAUUUGAACAUAACUGAAGUAGCUCCUCAUCCAUGUCUAAAACCCUCCAAGUGCCUUGCCCUGGUCAGAUCGCUCCCGAGUUUGCUAGGGACUCGUAUGAUGCAAUGUACUAUGCCAAG